UACGUAGGGUGCAAGCGUUGUCCGGAAUUAUUUGGGCGUAAAGGAGCUCGUAGGCGGUCUGUCGCGUCUGCUGUGAAAACUCGGGGCUUAACCCCGGGCCUGCAGUUGGGUACGGGCAGACUAGAGUGCGGUAGGGGAGACUGGAAUUCCUGGUGUAGCGGUGAAAUGCGCAGAUAUAGGAGGAACACCGGUGGCGAAGGCGGCAUCCUGGACCAUUACUGACGCUGGAGGCGCGAAAGCUAGGGGAGCAAACGGG
rnacentral:rRNA from 1 species